rnacentral:rRNA from 1 species
CGCGUAGGUGGUUAAUUAAGUCAAAUGUGAAAUCCCCGAGCUUAACUUGGGAAUUGCAUUCGAUACUGGUUAGCUAGAGUAUGGGAGAGGAUGGUAGAAUUCCAGGUGUAGCGGUGAAAUGCGUAGAGAUCUGGAGGAAUACCGAUGGCGAAGGCAGCCAUCUGGCCUAAUACUGACACUGAUGUGCGAAAAGCAUGGGAGCAAACA